rnacentral:rRNA from 1 species
UACGGAAGGCAGCAGUGGGGAAUAUUGCACAAUGGGCGCAAGCCUGAUGCAGCCAUGCCGCGUGUAUGAAAAAGGCCUUCGGGUUGUAAAGUACUUUCAGUCGUGAGGAAGGUGUUAAGGUUAAUAACCUUAGCAAUUGACGUUAGCGACAGAAGAAGCACCGGCUAACUCCGUGCCAGCAGCCGCGGUAAUACGGAGGGUGCGAGCGUUAAUCGGAAUUACUGGGCGUAAAGGGCACGCAGGCGGUUAAUUAAGUUGGAUGUGAAAUCCCCGGGCUUAACCUGGGAAUGGCAUUCAAGACUGGUUAGCUAGAGUCUUGUAGAGGGGGUAGAAUUCCAUGUGUAGCGGUGAAAUGCGUAGAGAUGUGGAGGAAUACCGGUGGCGAAGGCGGCCCCGUGGACAAAGACUGACGCUCAUGUGCGAAAGCGUGGGAGAGCAAACAGGAUUAGAUACC